rnacentral:rRNA from 1 species
UACGUAGGUGGCAAGCGUUGUCCGGAUUUAUUGGGUUUAAAGGGUGCGUAGGCGGUUCCUUAAGUCAGUGGUGAAAUACUUCAGCUCAACUGGAGAGGUGCCAUUGAUACUGGGGAACUUGAGUACUGAUGAGGUAGGCGGAAUGGACGGUGUAGCGGUGAAAUGCUUAGAUAUCGUCCAGAACACCGAUAGCGAAGGCAGCUUACUAAAGAGUAACUGGCGCUGAGGCACGAAAGUGUGGGGAUCAAACAGG